ACAUGAAGCCGGAAUCGCUAGUAAUCGCGGAUCAGAAUGCCGCGGUGAAUACGUUCCCGGGUCUUGUACACACCGCCCGUCACACCAUGGGAGUUGGAAAUGCCCGAAGUCAGUGGCCCAACCGGAAGGGGGAGCUGCCGAAGGCAGGUUCGAUGACUGGGGUGAAGUCGUAACAAGGUAGC
rnacentral:rRNA from 1 species